rnacentral:rRNA from 1 species
GACGAACGCUGGCGGCGUGCUUAACACAUGCAAGUCGAACGGACAGGCCCUGCUUUUGUGGGGUGCUCGAGUGGCGAACGGGUGAGUAAAACGUGAGUAACCUGCCCUUGACUUUGGGAUAACUUCAGGAAACUGGGGAUAAUACCGGAUAGGAGCUCCUGCUGCAUGGUGGGGGUUGGAAAGUUUCGGCGGUUGGGGAUGGAUUCGCUGCUUAUCAGCUUGUUGGUGAGGUAGGGGCUUACCAAGGCUUUGACGGGUAGCCGGCCUGAGAGGGUGGACGGCGACAUGGGUACUAAGGUACGGACCAGACGGCUACGGGAGGCAGCAGGGGGGAACAUUGCACAGUGAGCGGAAGCCUGAUGCAGAAACCCCGCGUGCGUGAUGACGGCCUUCGGGUUGUAAACCGAUUUCGCCGGUGACGAAGAGGGAGUGACGGUAAUGGGUAAAGAAGCACCGGCUAACUACGUG